ACUAAGCGUACACGGUGGAUGCCCUGGCAGUCAGAGGCGAUGAAGGACGUGCUAAUCUGCGAUAAGCGUCGGUAAGGUGAUAUGAACCGUUAUAACCGGCGAUUUCCGAAUGGGGAAACCCAGUGUGAUUCGUCACACUAUCAUUAACUGAAUCCAUAGGUUAAUGAGGCGAACCGGGGGAACUGAAACAUCUAAGUACCCCGAGGAAAAGAAAUCAACCGAGAUUCCCCCAGUAGCGGCGAGCGAACGGGGAGCAGCCCAGAGCCUGAAUCAGUGUGUGUGUUAGUGGAAGCGUCUGGAAAGGCGCGCGAUACAGGGUGACAGCCCCGUACACAAAAAUGCACAUGCUGUGAGCUCGAUGAGUAGGGCGGGACACGUGGUAUCCUGUCUGAAUAUGGGGGGACCAUCCUCCAAGGCUAAAUACUCCUGACUGACCGAUAGUGAACCAGUACCGUGAGGGAAAGGCGAAAAGAACCCCGGCGAGGGGAGUGAAAAAGAACCUGAAACCGUGUACGUACAAGCAGUGGGAGCACGCUUAGGCGUGUGACUGCGUACCUUUUGUAUAAUGGGUCAGCGACUUAUAUUCUGUAGCAAGGUUAACCGAAUAGGGGAGCCGAAGGGAAACCGAGUCUUAACUGGGCGUUAAGUUGCAGGGUAUAGACCCGAAACCCGGUGAUCUAGCCAUGGGCAGGUUGAAGGUUGGGUAACACUAACUGGAGGACCGAACCGACUAAUGUUGAAAAAUUAGCGGAUGACUUGUGGCUGGGGGUGAAAGGCCAAUCAAACCGGGAGAUAGCUGGUUCUCCCCGAAAGCUAUUUAGGUAGCGCCUCGUGAAUUCAUCUCCGGGGGUAGAGCACUGUUUCGGCAAGGGGGUCAUCCCGACUUACCAACCCGAUGCAAACUGCGAAUACCGGAGAAUGUUAUCACGGGAGACACACGGCGGGUGCUAACGUCCGUCGUGAAGAGGGAAACAACCCAGACCGCCAGCUAAGGUCCCAAAGUCAUGGUUAAGUGGGAAACGAUGUGGGAAGGCCCAGACAGCCAGGAUGUUGGCUUAGAAGCAGCCAUCAUUUAAAGAAAGCGUAAUAGCUCACUGGUCGAGUCGGCCUGCGCGGAAGAUGUAACGGGGCUAAACCAUGCACCGAAGCUGCGGCAGCGACACUGUGUGUUGUUGGGUAGGGGAGCGUUCUGUAAGCCUGCGAAGGUGUGCUGUGAGGCAUGCUGGAGGUAUCAGAAGUGCGAAUGCUGACAUAAGUAACGAUAAAGCGGGUGAAAAGCCCGCUCGCCGGAAGACCAAGGGUUCCUGUCCAACGUUAAUCGGGGCAGGGUGAGUCGACCCCUAAGGCGAGGCCGAAAGGCGUAGUCGAUGGGAAACAGGUUAAUAUUCCUGUACUUGGUGUUACUGCGAAGGGGGGACGGAGAAGGCUAUGUUGGCCGGGCGACGGUUGUCCCGGUUUAAGCGUGUAGGCUGGUUUUCCAGGCAAAUCCGGAAAAUCAAGGCUGAGGCGUGAUGACGAGGCACUACGGUGCUGAAGCAACAAAUGCCCUGCUUCCAGGAAAAGCCUCUAAGCAUCAGGUAACAUCAAAUCGUACCCCAAACCGACACAGGUGGUCUGGUAGAGAAUACCAAGGCGCUUGAGAGAACUCGGGUGAAGGAACUAGGCAAAAUGGUGCCGUAACUUCGGGAGAAGGCACGCUGAUAUGUAGGUGAAGUCCCUCGCGGAUGGAGCUGAAAUCAGUCGAAGAUACCAGCUGGCUGCAACUGUUUAUUAAAAACACAGCACUGUGCAAACACGAAAGUGGACGUAUACGGUGUGACGCCUGCCCGGUGCCGGAAGGUUAAUUGAUGGGGUCAGCGCAAGCGAAGCUCUUGAUCGAAGCCCCGGUAAACGGCGGCCGUAACUAUAACGGUCCUAAGGUAGCGAAAUUCCUUGUCGGGUAAGUUCCGACCUGCACGAAUGGCGUAAUGAUGGCCAGGCUGUCUCCACCCGAGACUCAGUGAAAUUGAACUCGCUGUGAAGAUGCAGUGUACCCGCGGCAAGACGGAAAGACCCCGUGAACCUUUACUAUAGCUUGACACUGAACAUUGAGCCUUGAUGUGUAGGAUAGGUGGGAGGCUUUGAAGUGUGGACGCCAGUCUGCAUGGAGCCGACCUUGAAAUACCACCCUUUAAUGUUUGAUGUUCUAACGUUGACCCGUGAUCCGGGUUGCGGACAGUGUCUGGUGGGUAGUUUGACUGGGGCGGUCUCCUCCUAAAGAGUAACGGAGGAGCACGAAGGUUGGCUAAUCCUGGUCGGACAUCAGGAGGUUAGUGCAAUGGCAUAAGCCAGCUUGACUGCGAGCGUGACGGCGCGAGCAGGUGCGAAAGCAGGUCAUAGUGAUCCGGUGGUUCUGAAUGGAAGGGCCAUCGCUCAACGGAUAAAAGGUACUCCGGGGAUAACAGGCUGAUACCGCCCAAGAGUUCAUAUCGACGGCGGUGUUUGGCACCUCGAUGUCGGCUCAUCACAUCCUGGGGCUGAAGUAGGUCCCAAGGGUAUGGCUGUUCGCCAUUUAAAGUGGUACGCGAGCUGGGUUUAGAACGUCGUGAGACAGUUCGGUCCCUAUCUGCCGUGGGCGCUGGAGAACUGAGGGGGGCUGCUCCUAGUACGAGAGGACCGGAGUGGACGCAUCACUGGUGUUCGGGUUGUCAUGCCAAUGGCACUGCCCGGUAGCUAAAUGCGGAAGAGAUAAGUGCUGAAAGCAUCUAAGCACGAAACUUGCCCCGAGAUGAGUUCUCCCUGACUCCUUGAGAGUCCUGAAGGAACGUUGAAGACGACGACGUUGAUAGGCCGGGUGUGUAAGCGCAGCGAUGCGUUGAGCUAACCGGUACUAAUGAACCGUGAGGCUUAACC
rnacentral:rRNA from 1 species